UGGACACCCCCAGCCACUGCUGCUGGCAGAAAAGCCCUGCCAGGAGAAAGGUGCCAACUUCUCCCUGGGUUUGCCACAAAUGCCACUUCUCAGCCGGCUCCACCACGGGGAUCCAGAGCAAGGUCCACAGCCACUGCACACACGUUCAUCCCCGCUGAUAACACCAGCUCCUGCUUGGACAGGGAAGAUCAUGAGGGAAUAAAGUUGUGUUGAGCUAGAAGUCACUGGGGGUCUCACAUUUGUCCCUUUUUGCUGGUGGUUGGUCAAAAGAACGACUUCCUUACUGGAAAGGCUGCAGAGACAUGGAGUCCCUGCAGGUGCAGGGCCUGGACUCUGGUGCCCUGUCCCAGGCCAGCAGCUUGCUCUGCCACCGUCCCUGUGCCCUCUGGCUGAAUUUACACCUCUCUAAGGGUUUAAUUUUUGGCUGCAGCUGACCCUGCCACCUUCCCUUUCCUCUGGAUUUACACUGAAGAGUUUCAGUUUUGGCUGCGGCCUCUCAACAUUCAAGUUGUUGCAAUAACUGCUUGCCCACUUCUUCCCAAGCAGGAUCAUUUAAUCUGAUUUAAUCUCUCCGGAUUUAGCCCCCAAAAGCAGAGACUCCCAUGGCAGCCCCCAAAAGCAGAGGCUCCCAUGGCAGGACACAGCAUUAAGGGUUGGAGGCAGAGGGAGGAGAGGAUCCUGCUGGUACUCACUGGGAUCAGCUUACUGCAGAUAAAAUCUCCAGGAAACUGCAGAGUGACUGAAAAAGGGCAGCAUUUGCAAUUCCAGAGGCCUUUUCCUGGUGCUGCCCUGGAGCUUCCCCUGGCCUUACUGCUGACCUUGCCCGGGGUAUGACUAAUUCCUGGCUGAUUCAAGAGAAAAGUCCAGCUGCCCAAAAUGCUGAGCCAUGGCACUGCGUGUGCUCCCAUCUCCACUUCUUGU